CACACCUGGCAAUGGAUGUGACCUUCAGCACGGCCCAGGUUUCUUUCACUUGGAGGAGGCAAAGUGGUGAAUGGAAGGAGGCAAUCCUCUGGCAGUGGGAUGCUAGGGAGCGAUAAUAAGGCAAGUUUGCUUGCUUGAAGGCUGCUGGCAUCCAUGGUUGGAAGCUGGCGGACGUCUCAUGAUGGACCUAAGAGUAGCUUCUGGCACAAUGGGGCACCAUGACAGAAGCCAGAGUGCACAGAAAUGCUGUUUACCUUCCUGCCACAGCAGUACCUAUUUAUCUACUUGCACUGGCGUGCUUUCGAACUGCUAGGUUGGCAGGAGCUGGGACAUAGCCACGGGAGCUCACCCCGCCAUGCAGAUUCGAACUGCCAAACUUCUGAUCGGCAAACCCAAGAGGCUCAGUGGUUUAGACCACAGUGCCACCCGCUCUCAGCUGGUUCUGAAUACCAGUUGCUGCAAACCAUAGCAAAGGAAAAAGCUCUUGGAUUCGGGUCCUGCUGGUGUGCUUCCACUAUAACAACAAGAUGGGCUAUUUGAGUGAUCCAGCAGACUCUUCUUACGUUCUCUAGAACCUUUGCACGGGUUUCUGUGGUGAGGUACACAGAGGGCUCUGAGCACUUAGGAAAACCGCCUUAUAACUGGGCAUUAAAGUUUUGGCAGUUUCCCCUCCCAGGUGUCCAGCUUGCAUUAGAUGCCAUUAUGAAGGGUCUGGUUUUGGGAAGUGAGUGCAGCAAGGGGUGGUGUUCAAGACUCCCAGUACAGAAAGCUUCCCACUCUGAUCUCCAGGUGUAAGAAAGAUCUGGCUUGGGAAGAGUCUUGAAAGCUGAAUUGAGGGGCCUGAUGCAGAUGGUAAUACAGUGGUACCUCGGGUUAAGUACUUAAUUCAUUCCAGAGGUCCGUACUUAACCUGAAACUGUUCUUAACCUGAAGCACCACUUUAGCUAAUGGGGCCUCCUGCUGCCGCCGCACCGCUGCUGCGCGAUUUCUGUUCUCCUCCUGAAGCAAAGUUCUUAACCCGAGGUAAUAUUUCUGGGUUAGCGGAGUCUGUAACCUGAAGCGUAUGUAACCCGAGGUACCACUGUAAUUAAAAAGAGGUGUUUGGGAAUACAUUAGAGAGCUGGCAAUGUCCGUGGCUCUAUUGCAUGCAUGCUUGAUGGCAAAUCCUAUUCAGCUCCCAUGAAAAAGACGUGUUUUGACUUCCUUCUUCAGACGUUACCCUUCCAACUUGUGGAGGGAGAUUCUUCACUCUCUUUUGUGAGGGAUUCGGAGUGCUUAUUGAGCCCUACUGUGCCGUAAACAUCAAAUAGCUGCAAAGGAACAUGCAGAAACAUCUGACAAUGAUCUCUUGACUUUAGCCAACAUGGAACAGCCCCUAUAGAGAACCAAACAUUGGGUUCUAUGAGUUCUAUGAUGCCUCUUAUGUGAGCGAGCCAAGGAGGCUUCGGGCCUGGGAAUCUCGUGACACAGUGUUCCAGGAAGCAGCCUUUGUUUGCCCACACGGUGUCUCUUUUAUUUAUUAAUAUGCACGCCCAACAAUGCCCAUUGUCUCUUUUCAUAUUGGAGAGCUGUCACAUGAGCACUUCGGGUGUCACCCAGAGGAUUGUGAGGCAAAGCCAAGUGGCUCUCUGGUUCCAGCUCGAAAUGUUAUAAUACAUUAACACUCUGCACACUCGACAAAUGUCUCUUUUCAGACCCAAUCGCCCACGUACGUUUUCAAAGUUUUCAGUUACAAGGAAGCACCCAAACAAGGAAGCUUGCACAAAAGCGUUUUCUUCCUCUCGAGCUAAACAAAAGAAUGACUAAUUUAUAAAGUUGCGGAGGCAACAUCUCCUUGUGCACCAGAGGCAUCUAAGUGUGUAAUCAGAUUAGAAGGAAUUUAUGAAUACUGAAGACUUAUGCAAGAGUCAUUUCUUUGGAGCUCCUAAUUGCCAUGUAGAAAAAUGGGUAUUUAUAGUUUGAAAAGGGCCUUCCUUAUGUCUCCCUCAGGGCUUUUACGGAUGAUUUUCAUCACAUAAUAAACACACAGUUCUUUUUCCUUUGUUGUAUAAAACAUAAGGAAGCCCUCAUGCCGCAGGGAUACAGUAUUUUCCCAGAAUUUUGUCGCUGAGAAAAAUGUAAGUCCUUUCCCUAGUUAUUACAUCUAUUGUGAUUGCCUUGGGGAAUGUGGCUGAGGGACUCUCGCUGGAACAUAUAGGAUAACUUCUGUAACAUCAUUAGAGACCAGGACACAAUCCCUCACUCACGCCACUUCCUGACCUUUUGAAAAAGUUUAUUUUUGUAGUAGUUUUUUGCACUGAUCUCCACUUUCCCAUUUUGCCACAACAUUGCAGGAGCCUUAAUAUAGUUUUUUCUUUUUUCUUUCUUUUUUUUAAACACCAAACACCAAAAAGUGACCCUCUUCUGUAUUUUCCCACAAACCUUUGGCUUUUCAACUUUUUUCUUAUUUUUUUCCAUUUAUUUCAUAAGUAAUGUUCCCCACUCCAUGGCUAGAUUUCCAAAGGCAUUACAUAAAGGAACGUAAAAGAAAGAAAAAGAAAACAAUUAUCAAUUAAUGCAUGAGACAAACCAAAAAAAAUGCAUGAUGUACAACACCUCAUUCUUUCCACAUUUCUAAGUGGCCUUACAAUUAUUUUUUUGCUUUUCUUUAGUACUCUGAAAGCUACAUUUAUAGCACCGGAGUGCACUUCUGCACAGGUUUUAUUUUAAAAGCGACUGCUAUCUACAUGAGAAUGGGAUAUUGAAUUAAUUUGCGGGGUCAUAACUAGCACUGAGAGCACAGUACUAAGAACAAUAAGCUGGUUGUAUGAAGAGGGGAACACGUACAAAUGCCAUAUGUCUGGAAAAUUCCUGACAUGUCCUGUUUUCGGGUGCAAAAAUGGCACGGGGGGAUUUUGCCAAACCGGCAAACUGUCAGGGAAAACCCGGAUGGAUGGCAACGCGAUGGGAAAAGCAGCGGAAACAGUUCAAAAAGCUUAAAAUUACAAUUUUUGGGGUAGGUAUCCCCAGAAAAGCUCAACAAUUUGGGUUUGUUCCAGCAAAAAGCUUAAGAAUUUUGCGGUCUUCCUAAAAAAAAGUGCUCAACAACAGGAGUGUUACUUUUUGAAAUAUGGCAGCCCUAAAUAAAGCCAACAUUUGCUUUCCUCAAGUGCUCAAGUGCUGAAAUUAUAUUCUAUUUCACAGAAAUGCCUCCCAGACCUGAGUGCUGUGCAUGAUUAGAGAAUAUGAACCUACCCAGACCCUGAGAUCAUCUUCUGAGGCCCUCCUUCAUGCGCCUCCUCCUUGAGAGGUCCGGAGGGUGGCCACACGAGAACGGGGCCUUCUCUGCAGUGGCUCCCCAUCUGUAGAAUGCUCUCCACAGGGAAGUUCGCCUGGUGCUUUCAUUAUACAGUACACCUUUAGGCACCAGGCAAAAACAUUCCAUUUAAACCAGGCCUCUGGUUGAUCUAAUUUACAUCCUAUGCCCUUUUAAAAUGUGGUUUGGGGGGGCUAUUGGGUUGUUGUUUUUAUUUUUAUUAUGUAUUUUGUGGUUUUAUAUCUUGAUUUUAUUCUGUGAACCGCCCUGAGACCGCCCGGGUAUAGGGCGGUAUAGAAAUUCAAAUACAGUGGUACCUCGGGUUAAGUACUUAAUUCGUUCCGGAGGUCCGUACUUAACCUGAAACUGUUCUUAACCUGAAGCACCACUUUAGCUAAUGGGGCCUCCUGCUGCUGCCACGCCGCCAGAGCACUAUUUCUGUUCUUAUCCUGAAGCAAAGUUCUUAACCUGAGGUAAAAUUUCUGGGUUAGCGGAGUCUGUAACCUGAAGCGUAGGUAACCUGAAGCGUAGGUAACCCGAGGUACCACUGUACAAAUACUAAUACUAAUAUCACUCACAAAACCAGUCCUCAUGUUUUUGGAACCACAGUGCUUAUCUCAUAUUUCUUUUUGAACUUAUAAUUUAGACAUAAGUCCAGAAUCCUGGCUGGGAUGGUUUCACAUACCCUGGGGGCAUGUUUCAAAGGGAAAUCAUCAAAUAGGGAAGAGUUAUGCAUCAUUUUCCUUGUUCCCAAGAGGAAGGUAGCUGCUGGGUUAACAUUGCAUGCAACGCUGGCGUAAUUCUUGAUUUGGCACCAAGGUAUAUAAACCAGAUGGAGAGUGUCAUUGUUUUCUGGUGAAGAAAACAUAGCCACCCAUGCGCUAAGCACCCGAAUCUUGUAUGGCAAUUGCUGGUAUUUGUUUGAAAUGCAAGGAACUCUGAGAAGAAAAUAUCGUUCAGCUGAAUAGUUAUUAUGAUGGCUUGCACGCUAAAGCAAUCUCAAGUUGUUCUUAUACCUGGAGAUGGACAAAUUUGCCGAUUUUGCUUUGUCCCUAUCACUCAUUUUUCCAAUCUUCAGAUCACUACAUUUCUUCAUUGAUUUGCAAUUUACUUUGUCAGAAGGCCCCAUGAAAAUUCAGCACUUUAGGGCACAUUUCUCCUAAUAUACACGUUUUUCGGUGAGCAAAUUUCCCUAACACUUUGUAAGUUAUUUGUGUACAUUUCCCCCUAAUCAACACACUUUUGCACUUUUUUUUUGGGUUGGAAAACUACAUUGCAAAAUUCAGAAAGGGGUGAAUUUAAAAGCUGGCAUUUUGCCUCCCCUGUUUCAGGCAGUACAAAUUAGGGAGAUUUGCAUUAACAUGUAAGCUGAAUUAUUCAGCCAACUGAAUUAUUCAUAUUCAUCCUCUCCAAUCCUAGCGACACUGAAAAAUCUAUGGAAACUAAUAGGGGAAAUUCUGAAAAGCUUAUCAUUUUGCUAAAAAUUCAAGACAAUGAAAAAGGUUGGCACGAACUGAAUCAGUAUGCAACCACUGAAUUAAAAACUUUCCAGGCUACCAAUGUUCUUUUGCUGCUGUGGAAGAACUUGGUGACUGGCAAAGAAGAAGAGCGGCACCUAGUGGCCAAAUGGUUUUAUGUCUUUAAUGUAUUUUUUCUUCCCUAACCCUUUUCCUUCUUGCAGCACCAACUAAUUCUUAGUUUUGUGGUUGUUGUUUUUUAGCAUGGAGGAGAUGCAGCUUAAAACUGAUCCACUUAAAAAACGAAUUCAGAACGUUUUAAAAAGGAACCCACUUUGAAAGAAGCUUGUUAUUGCUGAUACUGAAAAUAUGAACAGCUGCAACGAAAUAUUUACAAUGAACUAAAAUUAGAGGAGUGGGGGCUAAUGGGAUUUAGCGCAAGAAAACAAUCUAGUCCAGGCAUCCCCAAACUCGGCCCUCCAGCUGUUUUGGGACUACAAUUCCCAUCAUCCCUGAUCACUGGUCCUGUUAGCUAGGGAUGAUGGGAGUUGUAGUCCAACAACAGCUGGAGGGCUGAGUUUGGGGAUGCCAGAUCUAGUCCAAAGAGGAGAUAUUGCCAUGUUUAUUUCUAGCUCCCAUAAUUUUCAGCUAUGCGAAAUUUGCUUUAGUAAAGGUAGGAUUUUUUUUAAAAAAAACAAAACAAAACAAGGUUAAUAAUAAUAAUAAAUUUUAUUUAUACCCCGUCCUCCCCAGCCAAGACCGGGCUCAGGGCGGCUAACACCCGAUUUAAUUAAUUGAAUUACCAGUGGUGUGGGUGAAUGCUGGCCGGAUUAUGACAGAUUAUGCCUGUCAGGUUGUCACAUGGAAGAUGGAGCAAUCUUGUAAAAGUACGAUUGGAAUAUCACUUGUAGUUUAAGGGUGAAUUCUAGAUACAAUAGAGAUGUAAAAGAUUUGGACUAUCAAAAAAGAUGCAGAAGGAAAUGAUUAAUAACAGGACCCACAAAGGGCAGGAGGGAAGUCCAGGAGAUUCCUUGAAAUCUUGUUUUUGUUGAUUUAUGUUUGAUAUAUCUGUGUGGAAUUUUAAUUUGAAAAAGCAAAUAAAUAUAUAUUUUUUUUUAAAGGAAGGGGGAGCAAGUUUGUUUUCUCCUGUUCCAGAGAAAUAGCAACCCUGCGACUUGCUCCAGAGUGAACAUCUUUUGAUCCGGUGCUCUGGGGCAAGAGAUGGGCUUUAAAAAUGGGACAUUCCAGGAUCCAAACAGAAGCCAUGUUUAGAUUCUGUGAUCUGGGAUGUUCCGCUUAAAAAGGGACCCUUAUAGGGUAUGCAUACACUACCAGCUUGGGGGUUUACUAACAUCACAAUUUGACUCAAGAGGUCAGGGAGCCCCUGAAUCACCUUUUGGUUAGCCAAGCCCCAUAGAGCGUUGAUGCAUACUCCUGGAAUCUAGGACCUAGAUGAAGCCUAACAUUAAAAUCCCUGUGAACUGGGGAUCUUUCUAACUAUGAGGACCAGAGUAAAAUCUAGACUGUGUCCAGGCCGUGGGUAGAUACUUAUCUAAACUAUAUCCAUAUAUCUGUAUCUAUAUAGAUAUGUAUUCAUCUUGUUCCCGGCUGUACACAGAGGUUAUUUUUGGCCAUGCCAUAAAUCGAUGAACUCAAAUUACCCAGCUCUUUUUAAAAAAAUCAUUGAAACAAUAUGCAAAUGUACAAAUGCACCAUUUAUUUUUAGGGCAUGAACCAAGCCUAGAAUAUAAUAGAGGAUAUUUCCACUAUCCUGAAUGUGUUUUGAAUGUAGCCUUUCCCAGAAUGAUCCUUCUGGGAAACCUAUUUAUUAUGAUAACAUUGCAGAUAGGUAUCAAUCAUCUGCCCCAAAGCAACGACUGCUGCACUAUUUCCCGCCAAUUUCUGUUUGAAUAAUUAAUACCCACACAAUGCUAAUUGAUCAUACAUAUAGUAAGCAUUAACAAAUAGGUAGCAGAUAUAGUAGACGGAAAGAAAGAAUGAAUUGCUUUCCUUUGGACCACAUCAGCACGAAUGAGAUGGGGGUCUUGUUGCCUGGGAAGCCCAGGACCUCCAUACAAAUUGUCCAGGCUUGCACCCCAGGGAGGUAACAUUGGGGCUGCUAACACAGUGGUUUGACUUCACCCCCAAAAGCACACUCCAUUCUCUCUUGAGACAGAUGGAUGCCAGCUACAGCAACAAAUAUAUAUGCAGUUUCAUAUCACUUAACAUUCUUCUUUGGGUUUCAAAAUACAGUGGUACCUUGGUACUCGAACGGCUUGGCUGCCGAACAAAUCGCAAACCUGAACGCCACAAACUCGUAAAUAAGUACUCCAGUUUGCGAACAUUUUUUGGAAGCUGAAUGUCCGACACAGCUUCCCUUUGAGUGCAAGAAGCUCCUGCAGCCAAUCAGAAGCCGCACCUUGGUUUUUGAACAAUUUCGGGAGUUGAAUGGACUGCUGGAAUGGAUUAAGUUCAAGAACCAAGGUACCACUGUAGUAUGUUGUUGUGGUUUAGUCGUUUAGUCGUGUCCGACUCUUUGUGACCCCAUGGACCAGAGCACGCCAGGCACUCCUGUCUUCCACUGCCUCCCGCAGUUUGGUCAAACUCAUAAUCAUAUAUAAUUUAUAAAUCAGCAGAUUAUAAUAAUCUGAAAUUCAAAACAGAUCAAGAUUUCCCAUAAUAGAACAAUACUUCUAAAACUCUUAACUUACUAAUAAUAUUAUAUUCAACAUUCCCUCCUCUCUUCUCAAUAAUUGACCUAUACUUGAACCUCACUACAGUGGUACCUCUGGUUAAGAAUUUAAUUCGUUCUGGAGGUCCGUUCUCAACCUGAAACUGUUCUUAACCUGAAGCACCACUUUAGCUAAUGGGGCCUCCCGCUGUUGCCGCGCCGCCAGAGCACAAUUUCUGUUCUCAUCCUGAAGCAAAGUUCUUAACCCGAGGUACUAUUUCUGGGUUAGCGGAAUCUGUAACCUGAAGCGUCUGUAACCUGAAGCGUCUGUAACCUGAGGUACCACUGUAGGUGGGUCGCCAUCACGCAUGACCAAGCUAGCAAAAGACGAAAGUUAAGCAGAGCCGUGUGGGUGUAACCAACUUCAGCAAAACGCCUGGCAGUUUAAGCCAGAAAUAGAUUCCUUUCAAACAGAAAGAGUGUGCAUUUUGAGUAGGGAAUGGAAAAGGAAUAAAAUCUCUAGGCAGUUCUACUGUUACGACAAUUACACCCGCCUUGAUUUGCUGAAGCUGGCAUUACUCUAAAGACAUCUAUAACAAUGGAUAUGUAAGCAGGGGCAAAUGUGUAGGUGGAAGGAAUAUUAGAUAUUGUCUCAGGUUAUAUUAGCUGUUCUGUCGCAGUCUGCUUUGCCAGGAACAUAAUGCAUACAUUCUUUCAUAAAUUAAAAAAAGUCAGUGGAUUCCAACAGAAACUUUGCUUGGGGCGACAGUCAAGGGCAAGAAUAGAAAACGAUUGUUCCAUAUGUUUUGAAUGUAUCUUUCAAUUCGUAGAAUAGUAGAAUUGCAGAGUUGGAAGGAGCCCAAGAGUCAAUGCAGGAAUCACAGCUAAUAUGUCUCUGACACAGGGGUGUCAACUUGAAUAAAAUAUUGGGAUGGCUCAAGUAAGCCCUUCCUUGCAUAAUCCAUCACAAGAUGCAACACACACACACACACCAUUUGAAUGGCAAUUCAACUGUGGGAGUGUGUGGCCCGCUCAACUAUUUUGUGGGGAGACUGAAGGGAUUUUGGCCCCUAGGAGUUGGCUCCUAUGCUCUGAUAGACGUUUUCAGGUGUGUACAAUUUUCACCCAUAUAUUCAACAAACGUUUUCCGAUCUUCUCUAACUGUAUGUUCUUCUUGUUCUUGUAUUCUAUAUGUUAAGUCUGCAAGCUGUGCAUAUUCCGUCAGCUUAAGUUGCCAUUCUUCUUUAGUUGGGACCUCACUUGUUUUCCAUUUUGGGGCUAACAAAACACGGACCGCAGUCGUGGCAUACACUCUGUAUGCCACAGAAUUUGUACUCCUUUCCAGGACAUUGCCAGAGCCCUAGCGCCUCCCUCCCAAAGCCCUGCGUCUCCGUUACCCAACUUUGGGAAGGUAGUGUGAGGGCUCUGGCAGCCUCGUGCUGCCUUCCGAAAGCCAGUAAGCAUGGUGGCUCACAGUGCUAUUUUUCUAGAAAAAGAGGUGCCGGAACUCACCAUGAACGCCUCCCUCAUUCUCUUAGAGUGGCACUGGCGUCCAUCUGAGAUGUGCCCCAGGAAACUCAAAAUAGGCCUCCUCAAAAUCAUAGGCCCAUGCCCAUUGCCCCCCCCCCCCCCCGGUUCUGGCCUGGGUAGGAAUUAAGGUUUGUGCUCCAAAUUCUGAUUGAGGAAGGCGGGGCAGGAACAAAACUUAUUUUCAAAGUUUAAUCAUGGGGAUGCAGCUGAAGAAAUCUAAUAGCCCACGCUUGUCCUGAUUUUCCUUAUAUAUAUCAAAUUUCUGUCCAUCUGGAUUCAUUCGGAUCUGAUCUAAAUUCUUCCCCUUCUUCCACAUAAGUCUGCAAAGUGGAUUUAACGGAAUAAAUGAAUAUCACACUCCAUUUUAUAUCGGAGGAGCAGAAAAGGGAGAAUUCGUCUAUACUAAAUAUAUCGGAUUAAAAGGUUAGGGCUCAACAGGACAAUAAAAGCUAAGGCUUCCUGCUGGCAUCUAUUUGUCAAAAAUACUGAUUUUACUCCCUAGGUCCAAUAUUUAUAAUGUGAUGCUAGGUGGCAAGGGUCAGCAAACUUUUUCAGCAGGGGGCCGGUCCACUGUCCCUCAGACCUUGUGCGGGCCGGUCUAUAUUUUGAAGGGGGGGGAAUGAACCAAUUCCUAUGCCCCCAAAUAACCCAGAGAUGCAUUUUAAAUAAAAGGACACAUUGUACUCAUAUAAAAACAUGCUGGUUCCUGGACCGUCCAUGGGCCGGAUUUAGUAGCCUAUCCAUGGCUGGCCCGAGACAUUUUCUUCCUGCUGUGAAGGGCAAAUUCUUACAACACCAUUGAUGGGAUGUCCUCCUCUACUACAUCUGGGGGAAGCAAGUUAGGGAAUGCAAGGCAGGCUGUGAAUAGCGCACCUAGUUCUUCAUUGUCUUCAUUAUCUUUCUGCAUCUCCUAGAAUCUGCCACCUGAGGUGUCCGCCUCAUUCUGCUUAAUGGCAGAGCCAAGCUCUACAAUGAAGAGUGGAAUGAACUUAUCAUAUGUGGUGGCCUUGUAGUAGGGUUAAGGCUUACUGGGAAAUGAUAUACAAUGUAAUGAAAAAGAUGUUAAAAAUAACAUUUGUAAAAAAAACAAACCCAACAAUAACAACCAGAAGCCUUUCUCUUGGGAACUGUAGGGAUAGAAUCGUAUCGAAUGUUUUUCAUGUAUUUGACUCCGAUGGCAAGAAUGUUUCUUGCCCUAAAAUGUAAAGAAGGAGAAGUCCCAGCAAAGGAAGAAUGGAUACAAAAACAUAAGGAAUAUGCAGAAAUGGUGAAACUUACUGGAAGAAUAAGAAAUCAAGAUAACAAACUUUUUUUAUAAAAGAAUGAAAUGGUUUAUUGAAUAUUUACAGACAAAUUGUAAACAGAUAAAAACACUGGCAGGAUUAUUGGAAUAACCUGCAGCUACAUAAGAGUAUAUAUUUAAAAAAGAUAAGUAAAUGAGUAUGUUAAGUUAAUUUGGAUAUGCAGAAGAAACUAAAAAUAAACUUAAGGAACCGCAGACAAAGGGGGAAGGAAGUCAAGUUUUAAAAGUGUCAAAAUGACUGUAAAAUCAGUGAAAUGUAUAUAUCUGAAAAGUAUGCUUCUUUUUUUAAUGAGUAAAAUGAACCACUUUCUUCUGCAUUUAGAUCCAAAGAGAGAUCAUUUUAACGGAUCCUUCUCUCCCCCCCCCCCUUGCUACGAUGACAUGAAAUGAUGGCCACCCAUUUUAGGCCUUUGUGUAAUCCUCCUUUCUCUGCAUUUGCUUGUGAGCAAUGAGUCUUCAGUCACUGCUGCCCAUUUGUCUCUCUAUAAAGCACGAAGACAGAGUCACAAAGGAAAUGUUGAAGAACGGGAGAUGCUUCCUAUCCAAAUAAUAAGAUUGCCAAUAUUUAAACAAAGCUGGUUCUGCCACUGUGCCUUAAAACACAAACAUUUGAAAAACACAUCAUUAAAUGCCAUUGUAACAAUGGGGGGGUGUUCUUCUUUGUAGAAGCCGCCCAGAGUGGCUGGGGAAACCCAGCCAGAUGGGCGGAGUACAAAUAAAUUAUUAUUAUUAUUAUUAUUACUACUACUACUACUAUUAGGGCUAUUUCAUCAACUGUGGGAAAGAUGAGUUCACAUUGUGUUUCCGAGCACAAUUCAGAGAGUUGGUGCUGACCUUUAAAGCCCUAAAUGGCCUCAGCCCAGUAUACCUGAAGGAGCGUCUCCACCCCCAUCGUUCAGCCCAGACACUGAGGUCCAGCUCCAAGGGCCUUCUGGCGGUUCCUCACUGUGAGAAGUGAGGUUACAGGGAGCCGAAGGCCUUCUGGCGGUUCCCUCCCUGCGAGAAGUGAGGUUACAGGAAACCAGGCAGAGGGCCUUCUCGGUAGUGGUGCCUGCCCUGUGGAACACCCUCCCAUCAGAUGUCAAGGAAAUAAACAACUAUCUGACUUUUAGAAGACACCUAAAGGCAAUCCUGUUUAGGGAAGCUUUUAAUGUCUGAUGUUUUAUCGCCUUAUCAUCAUCAUCAUCAUCAUUAAUUCUACUGGGAGCCGCCCAGAGUGUGGAAACCCAGCCAGAUGGGCGGGGUAUAAAUAAAUUAGUAGUAGUAGUAGUAGUAGUAGUAGUAGUAGUAGUAUUACAGUUCUUCACUAGCAGCCUCUGUGUCAAAUACUGCAACAGGUAGAGAUAAGAUGCAGGUUGAAAUUCAUAUGAUAAAUUCAUGCCCACCCUGUAAGCUUUGAGUGGCUAUGGCCAUACAUUUUAUUCCAAUUAAAUUUUGCUCAGAUCAGACUCAUUAAAAUUAAUAGAUCUAAGUUAGUCAUGCCUAAUAGCUUUAAUGGGUCUACAGUGAAUAUGGCUAACAUUAGAGACCCUACCCUACAUUUUCAUGCUAAAGCCUCUUAAAAUUUAUUAUUUCCCUCUUAUCUUGACCCAGAUCUUACGAGCAGCCGAGAAUGAAAGCAACCAUAUGUAGAAUGAAAAAUCUUUUCUAAUUUGAUAGGACCAACCUUGGGAUAUCAUAUACUAAAUUGGAGAUGGCGGCUAGUGAUAAAUCAAGUUGGAAAGUAUUGUUAAUAAAGGAAAAGCUAUCUUGGCAUUGGUUACCAGGGCAACCCAGAUGAAGAGAUUCUGCCAGACUGAGUUCCAAAACUUAAAAUACUGAAAGGCAAAUGAUGACCGACUCAAACAUCAAGUCUAUAUUACAGCUGUAUUCCUGGAAGCAUGUGAGGUGUCAGCUAUAGUUUUUGUCAGACAUGCCCUCAAUGACUGGCUGAUAUUACUUGCAGUAGGAAAGGCUGUUGCGGAACAAUAAUAAACACACAAAACAGGUAGCAACUCUUCUAAGAAAAUUUAAUUACCUGCUGUGAUCUAGUCUGAUUCUGUACCGGGUAUUCUAUAAUCUGUGACUGGAUUCUGUUACGUAUGUUUAAUUCAAAGCUGCUCUGUUUUGUUUUCUUGAAAUCCAUAAAAUGUAUUAGGAACAAAGAGAACUUUUUUUUUUUACAUUUUUAAAAGCAAAUACCCAAUAGAAAAAAACCCACAUGUUACAACCAACUUCAUGCAUAUGAUAAAAAAAUACUUAUAUGUGCAUGACGAAGGCCCGUUAAUUGCACUAGACACUGGAGAAAAUGAGAAAAUGAGUUGAUGAAAUUGACGAAACAGAGGAGGUUUAAUUAUAUUAUUUUAAUUUAAAAUACGUAAAUGAAAAUAAGGUUAGAAGGAUUUGCUGGAAAUACGAUCUGAACUAGAAUACAAAAUUGGGAGGUGAGAGGAAGUCAUGGAAAUAAGUAAAGGGAAAAGGCUAUGUAAAGGUUUAAUCUGUUUUUGCUUUAUUUUAACUUAAUGCAUUUUUAUAUUUUUUGUUAAGUCUUCUUUUUUAUUCUAUUUUAUUGUUUACUUUAAUCUUUUUAUUUUUCGCUUUGUUAUGGUUAAAGUUUUCUUUGUAUUUUGUAUGGUUUUUCUUUCUCUUUUUUGGUAACUUUAAACUUGGAAUAAAUAUCAUUUAAAAAAAAUAGACACUGGAGAAAAGAGAUGAAUUGACAUUUGCAGGGAACUCUUUUGAAAAAUAAAACAGUGCUUUGCUUCUGUUAUUAUUAUUAUUAUUAUUAUUCCUGCUAUACUAGGUCCCGGGGUCUUUUAAGAAUGUGGUCUGGUUUUUGGAGUGCAUUCUGGAAACCUUAAGAUACUGAUGUAAACUGUAUAUAUUAAAAGCCGAACUCCAGGAACACAGACAUUCUGGGCAAAGUCUGUAAUUACAGCUCUCAGUGUUUGUUUGUUUUUUAUUAAUGUUUUGGCCACCAAUCAGUGGACUAUUCAAUGUUCACUGUUUGGCUGCCGGUGUGAGUAAAAGGACAGAGAAUGUUGAUUGGUACUGGAGUGCUCCACCUCUAAGACACCUCCGUAAUUCUGAUUCAACAAUUGGCUUGGGUGCCACAGCAGAGACAAAGCCAUGCUUUUGCAUGUUCAGACCUUUAAACCUCCCCCUUAAAUAAAUUCAGUCAAGACUCAAAUUUUGGUUUGGUUUUUGGGAGAAUUUAGGCCACAACUUUAUAGAUUGCAGCAAGUGAGUGGUUUCAUAGGCUCUGGUUCGACUAGCUCCCUGCCUUGCAGGUAGCGCUGACCCAGGGCACCAGCAUAGGUCAGCCUAGGGUGAACACCCGGAUAGGCGGAAAGGCUAUGUCCACCACCCAGAUGUCCCCCUAGACUCAGGCACGGGCACAACCCCCUCUCAGGGGUUGAACAAACCAUCGAGUCCCUGGAUUCCUUUAACGGAAUACCCUUCACGUAGGGAUGGCGAGAGCGUUCUCCCAUCCCUGUCACCUGAACCAGAGCCUAUCCACAAUCUUACAAGUUGUGACGAUUUGCUAUGCAGCUGGCGAAACCCAAAUGGCACCAGCCAAUCAGCCAAGUGGGGAAAAUUCCUGCCGUGCUCCUGUCCCAAUGACAGACGACACACAACGGCAUAGCAAGGUCAAGCGCAAAGCCCUAAAAGUAGGGAGAGGUGGGCGGGUGUUCCGAAUGCACACGCCAAAGGAGGAAGCUCUGGGUUACGUGCAUGGGUAUAAAUAGGUCCCUUGAGGACCCAAUUUAGCUUUGUAAAUAAAUGUAGAAAUAGAGAGAAGUGCAGACUUCUGUCAGAAGCCCUUCAAGUGACUAUCACAAACAAAUUCAGACAGUAGUUUCUUUCAUGCGUCCCUCGAAGCCUGAGGAGAGAAUGUGAAAUACAAAACCUAACCCGCACACAGUCUCCAUAAGAUAAUUAAAAAACACACAUUCUUGUUUCUAGGUCUAAAUUGAUUGAUCUCUUUGUAUAUUUUUUUACUCCCUGUUGCUCCUCUGAUUCUAGACGGUUCCUUAGGCUCCUUGUUGUUUGUGAGGAGGUCUGAAUUUCAACACUUCCUGGACAUCCGCAUUCAUAUUUAUACAUCAUACUCUACAUUUUUUUUAAAAAAAAAUCAAGUCUAAUGAAAUGAGGUUCUCAAUCAGUAGAGCAUGAUACUCUUAAUCUCAAAGUCAUGGGUUUGAGGCCCAAGUCGGGCAAAAGAUUCCUGCAUUGUAAGGGGGUUGGGCUGGAUGAUGCUCACGGUCCCUCCCAAACUUGAUUCUCUGAUGCUCUAAUUCUCUGAAACCUAUAUUCCUCCUCCCAUGGGUUUCAUCUAUUCUUUCACACAUCACAUUAAUGAACAUGCAAACACCAUUCUGCCUCAACCACAUUUGAAACGUCCCAUGUACUCACACAAACAUAUACCGGUACCAGUCGACAUCCAAAAACAUGACAUCCAUUCAUGUUCGUGCCCUGGCUUCAGUCCACAAAUAUCCACUGGCUUCUGUUGACUGUCUUCCAAAGGUGAACUUCUAUCAGCCAAUAUCCACCAACAUCAGUCUGCUUUAGCCUUGUAGCCUCUACCAACUUCCAAAUCCAAAAGCUACUGGUUCCAUCCACCAACAACUGCCAGCUUCUCUUAGGUCCAUCAUGAGACGUCCACCAGCUUCCAACCAUGGAUACCAGCAGCCUUCAAGCAAGCAAACUUGCCUUAUUAUCGCUCCCUAGCAUCCCACUGCCAGAGGAUUGCCUCCUUCCAUUCACCAAUUUGCCUCCUUCAAGUGGAAGAAACCUGGGCAGUGCUGAAUGUCAUAUCCCUUGCCAGGUGUGUCCUGUUGGAAAUAAAAAAGGGCUUUCCCCUUGGCCUGCCUUUAUAUCCACACAGUUGCCAAGUGCUUUUGUGACAUCACAAGAAACCCACAGCCAAUGGCAACAGCUGGGGAGGCAUCAUCUUCAUUGCUUUGAGCCUCACAGUGGCAGGGGGAGCUAUCAGUGAUUGUGUGCUUGUUUAUUUGGGACACUGGUGGCGCUGUGGUCUAAACCACCAAGCCUCUUGCCCCUGCUAAAAACCUUGCAGUUUUUGUUGUCACCUGAUCAUCUAGAUAGGUCUUGUGAUCCCUUCCAACUCUACAAUUUCAUGUUUUCCAAGAUUUGUUUUAUGGUAAUUCACAAGGGACAUGUGUGGUUUAGUGGCAUUGCACAGAGUAAAGGAGAUUGCCUGGAAGAUGUUUAAUAUGCCCACAUGAAUACAUGCAGUUAGGACCCAAAAGUAAAAUAUCAACUGACCUUCCCUGGGGAAAAUGAGAAAGCAUGGCAAGUUUAUUUUGAACUGUGUAAUCCAAAUAGUGAGAGAGGAUGCAAUUCUAAACGCUUUCAUGUGGAAGUAAGUCCCAUUGAAUUCAAUGUGCCUUAGAGCAGACAUGUUUAGACCUGCUGCUGUGAACAGGUUUCUAACAGGCAAUUAGAUACUUCAUUAACUUUUUCAUUUAAGGUCCCACAAGACUUAAUGGUUUGUUUGCUAACCCUUACUUUUUAGGAGGGAAAAAGUGAGUCUUAUAGAGCAAAAAAUACGGUAUAUGUAUAAAAGUUUUAAAACAUGUAUAUUUUUAACUUAUGUGUAUAUAAAUUUUAAAAUAUGUAUAGUUCUGCAUCCACAAACAACAAAACAGAAAAAAGAAUGAUUGAAAAUAAACCAAUUGUACUGAAAUAGGAAAUACCAGACAAAAGUGGAAAUGAAUGUUGGAUAGACUGAUGCACAUCCAUACACCCCUAACCACAAAUUAAGUGAAAUGCGCUAUUCCUGCAAGUACACAUAGAUCUUUUUUCCGCCUCUAGGUGAUGCAAAAAAAAUCGUAUUCCCACAGCUGAGAAACACCAUGCAAGCCGUGUUAAGGCAGAUCAUUUUCAAUAUGUCACAGUUUCGACACCAAUAUCACACAACGAAUAGUGUAUUUGCACCUUCACAUGAUAUCAGGCCAAUAUUUGCUAUGCUGGAGUGAACGCUUGUUUUUGAUUUCUUAAUGGUUUGGAAACUCAGUGCCAUAAUACAAAAAUCUGUGCGGUUUGUUUCCCCCCCUCCUUGCAGAUCACUCUAACAGAAACAUUGAGCUGUAAUACAAAUCGACAAAGAUGGUCGUACUGGGAUCAAGGAAAGGCAUAGUCAUGGCCACCUACAAGAAGAUGCUGGCAGCCCCAAGUGUUUUUCAUUCCCCCCACCCCUGUUGGCAAAGGUCAUCCCAGCCUUUCCUUCUCUUUGAAAUGUGUGAUGCUGACUCAUGUGGCAACGGUGGCACCACACAUAUGCUUGCAACAGAACAGGAAGUUGCAGGGGAACAGUCGAGUCAAUGGCAUAGUCUCAAGAAAAGCAUCGGCUCUGUGAUUAACUAUUGCACGACUAGGGGGAUCAUUUCCUCCCAUAUUCCUGAUUUCAGAGAGCACUGAAUAUUCAUGCUUAUACCACUGGCUAUUUGGAUACAUAAUGAAAACUGAAGUUCUCACCCUGGGCCAGCAGGGGGAUACUGUAGAUAGUUCAGGUCCACAUAUGCAAAUAAGGGAUCGAAAGUGAUGUUCAGUGAUUGGAUAGCUACAGAAAGUUGUUACAUUUACGUUGUACUGGAGCUCUAUAUAAGCAGGCUGGCUGAACCCUUCAGCUCUGUUCUGUUCUGACCUGUGAAUAAACAAGAGCUGUUUGGAGAAUCGCUGUGUCGUCUGAUAUGUUCACCCACAACUUAACAAAAACUGCAUUUACCCUGGGGCUUGUUGGCAUGCAGAGGGCUGGGAGGCCAACUGGCUAGCCCCAGCUGGACCGUCUCCUUCCAGCCGCCCUGCUGUGAAGACCCAUCGGCCUCUGCUCCAACGUAAAUCAGCGACCCAGGCUUCAAAGCCAGGGCACACUAUCAGCAUAUCGAACUGCACACACAGAAUAGGGGUGAGACUUGUGGAAGCAUACUAUAACUACAGAUUUAUUAAUCAUAUAUCAGGACAAAGAAACAUGUUGUGUCUCUCUCUCAUCGUCUCAGAGAGAACAGCAAAAGCAAAAGCUAUACGCAGCGAAAGUUCCCAGCAAGCUGUGCUGGAAUGUAAACAGAUAUGUGACACGUAACAAUCCCAUGUCUGUUCCGUAAGGUGGAACGGAAUUCUCAACAUGGCUAACGUACAUGCAUGCAACACCCAGCAAUGAUGGACAUUUCUGAUCCCCAGGACUCAUCUUCUGGCAUAUACUGCUACUUACAGGUAAAGGUAAAAAGGACCCCUGGACGGUUAAGUCCAGUCAAAGAUGACUAUGGGGUUAUGGAGCUCAUCUCGCUUUCAGGCUGAGGGAGCCAGCAUUUGUCCACAGACAGCUUUCCAGGUCAUGUGGUCAGCAGGACUAAACCACUUCUGGUACAACAGGACACUGUGACAGAAGCCAGAACGCACAGUAACACCGUUUACCUUCCCACCACAGCAGUACCUAUUUAUCUACUUGCACAGGCGUUCUUUCGAACUGCUAGGCUUGUAGGAGCUGGGACAGAGCAAUGGGAGCUCAUCCCAUCGCGAGGAUUCAAACUGCUAACCUUCCGCCCAGCAAGCCCAAGAGGCUCAGUGGUUUAGACCACAGCUCCACCUGUGUCCCGAAUAAACAAGCACACAAUCACUGAUAGGUCCCCCCGCCAUUGUGAGGCUCAAAGCAAUGAAGAUGAUGCCUCCCCAGCUGUUGCCAUUGGCUGUGGGUUUCUUGUGAUGUCACAAAAGCACUUGGCAACUCAGUAGAUAUAAAGCCAGACCAAGGGGAAAGCCCUUUUUUAUUUCCAGCAGGACACACCUGGCAAUGGAUGUGGCAUUCAGCACUGCCCAGGUUUCUUCCACUUGGAGGAGGCAAACUGGUGAAUGGAAGGAGGCAAUCCUCUGGCAGUGGGAUGCUAGGGAGCGAUAAUAAGGCAAGUUUGCUUGCUUGAAGGCUGCUGGUAUCCAUGGUUGGAAGCUGGCGGACAUCUCAUGAUGGACCUAACAGUAGCUUCUGACACAAUGGGAUGCCGUGACAGGAGCCAGAGUGCACAGAAAUGCUGUUUACCUUCCCGCCACAGCAGUACCUAUUUAUCUACUUGCACUGGUGUGCUUUCGAACUGCUAGGUUGGCAGGAGCUGGGACAGAGCAACGGGAGCUCAUCCCGCCAUGCAGAUUAGAACUGCCAACCUUCUGACUGGCAGGCCCAAGAGCAGGCACCCCCAACCUUCGGCCCUCCAGAUGUUUUGGACUACAAUUCCCAUCAUCCCUUACCACUGGUCCUGUUAGUUAGGGAUCAUGGGAGUUGCAGGCCAAAACAUCUGGAGGGCCACAGGUUGGGGAUGCCUGCCCAAGAGGCUCAGUAGUUUAGACCACAGCACCACCCACAUCCAUCUGAAUGGGACAUUGCUGUGGGCAGCCUGAGGAAGCGCCAUCCACCUUGGGUCUGCCCAUAAAAACCAAGUCUCAAGUGAGAGACUAGGCUGGUGCCCACUGCUUCCAAAAACUCUUUUUGUUGUGAG